rnacentral:rRNA from 1 species
UACGGGGGGGCAAGCGUUGUUCGGAAUUACUGGGCGUAAAGGGCUCGUAGGCGGCCAACUAAGUCAGACGUGAAAUCCCCAGGCUCAACCUGGGAACUGCGUCUGAUACUGGAUGGCUUGAAUCCGGGAGAGGGAUGCAGAAUUCCAGGUGUAGCGGUGAAAUGCGUAGAUAUCUGGAGGAAUACCGGUGGCGAAGGCGGCAUCCUGGACCGGCAUUGACGCUGAGGAGCGAAAGCCAGGGGAGCAAAGCGGG